rnacentral:ribozyme from 12 species
CAUAUAUUAAUGCUUUUAUUUCUUUUCUUUCAAUCAUUCUAAUAUGCUGAACUUCAAUAGGCAAAGUGGGCGUGAACGUGUGAGUCCCUGCAUAUCA